UUCAAGCCCCUCUUAAUGGCAGAAACAUGCCUCUGUUCACUCCCUUCGACUUUCGCUUCGAAACCCCCACUUAAAUCUCUCCCUAUUUCACAAAGACCCAGCAAGCUCCAACUCUCAUACUCCCACUCUUUAUCACCUUUCUCUCUAAAACCCAAAACCCAUCUCUCCUUAACAAUCCCGUUUGUAACUCAGACCUCGGAUUGGGCUCAACAAGGAGAAGAAGACAACACCACUAUCACUUUAACUGAAUCGGAGCAAGAAGAACAAGGAGAAUCCAAUUGGGUAAAUGAAGAAAGUAAUGAUUUUGAAGGUAAAGUACCUGAAUGGGAGGCUGAAGGAGAGGAUGCAGCUGCUACCGAAGCUAUUAGAGGUGAAGGAGAGAGUGGUGACGAGGAGGGAUUUGUAGAGCCACCAGAGGAAGCUAAGAUUUUUGUAGGGAACUUGCCAUAUGAUGUUGACAGUGAGAAGUUGGCUAUGUUGUUUGAACAAGCUGGAACUGUUGAGAUUGCUGAGGUAAAUAAAUGCACUUGCUUUUUUGUGUUUUAGAGUGUUUCAAGGGUUUUAUGGAGGUUUUGUUUUGUGGUGUUGUAGGUUAUUUACAACAGGGAAACUGAUACAAGUCGUGGGUUUGGGUUUGUGACGAUGAGUACUGUUGAAGAAUCCGAAAAGGCUGUGGAAAUGCUUCAUCGUUAUGUAAGUUUCUUCCUAUAUUUGUUUUGUUGAAACUUUUGGCUAUGUGUGGUUUGGGACGAUUUAAAACUAUAUAUAAACUUAUGAUAGUUGCUAGAAAUGAGUGAAAGGGAGUAGGCAGAGUGGGAGAUGCCGUUUCUAUGCCUUUAUGGCUAGAAGAAGAAAGAUGCUGGAUUUUUGGAAGUUUCCUUGACUAAUUGAGCCACCUGUUAGGUUCGGAUGGCUGAGUAUUUUGUAUAAUAUGGGAAGAGAAAUUCUCUUUUUUGGUUGAGUAAUGGUACUUUUUU
rnacentral:lncRNA from 1 species